GACGAACGCUGGCGGCGUGCUUAACACAUGCAAGUCGAACGGAAAGGCCCUGCUUUUGUGGGGUGCUCGAGUGGCGAACGGGUGAGUAACACGGGAGUAACCUGCCCUUGACUUUGGGAUAACUUCAGGAAACUGGGGCUAAUACCGGAUAGGAGCUCCUGCUGCAUGGUGGGGGUUGGAAAGUUUCGGCGGUUGGGGAUGGACUCGCGGCUUAUCAGCUUGUUGGUGGGGUAGUGGCUUACCAAGGCUUUGACGGGUAGCCGGCCUGAGAGGGUGACCGGCCACAUUGGGACUGGGAUGCGGCCCAGACUCCUACGGGAGGGAGCAGUGGGGAAGAGUGCACAAUGGGCGGAAGCCUGAUGCAGCAACGCCGCGUGCGGUAUGACGGCCUUCGGUUUGUAAUCCGCUUUCGCCUGUGACGAAGCGUGAGUGACGGUAAUGGGUAAAGAAGCACCGGCUAACUACGUG
rnacentral:rRNA from 1 species